UACAGAGGUCUCAAGCGUUGUUCGGAUUCAUUGGGCGUAAAGGGUGCGUAGGUGGCGUUAUAAGUCAGGUGUGAAAUCCCGGAGCUCAACUCCGGAACUGCCUUUGAUACUGGCAAGCUAGAGUCCGGAAGAGGUGAGUGGAACUCCUAGUGUAGAGGUGGAAUUCGUAGAUAUUAGGAAGAACACCAGUGGCGAAGGCGGCUCACUGGUCCGGUACUGACGCUGAGGGACGAAAGCUAGGGGAGCGAAAGGG
rnacentral:rRNA from 1 species